rnacentral:misc_RNA from 1 species
AACUUUCAGCAAUGGAUCACUAGGCUCUCGCAACGAUGAAGAACGCAGCGAAAUGCGAUAAGUAAUGUGAAUUGCAGAAUUCAGUGAAUCAUCGAAUCUUUGAACGCAUCUUGCGCUCCUUGGUAUUCUGAGGAGCAUGCCUGUUUGAGUGUCAUUAAAUUCUCAACUACACUGACUUGGUGUGGCUUGGAUUUGGGGGUUGUGGGCUUUUUGUAGUCUGCUCCCCUGAAAUUAAUUAGCGGUACCUUGGUGGAACUGUCUACAGGUGUGAUAAUUAUCUACAUCCUAGACAUCUGCUGGAAUGCUGCUUUCUAGACCUUACUUGUAUUGACAAUCUUGACCUCAAAUCAGGUAGGACUACCCGCUGAACUUAAGCAUAUCAAUAAGCGGAGGCU